rnacentral:rRNA from 1 species
GAUGAACGCUGGCGGCGUGCCUAAUACAUGCAAGUCGAGCGAACAGAUGAGGAGCUUGCUCCUCUGACGUUAGCGGCGGACGGGUGAGUAACACGUGGAUAACCUACCUAUAAGACUGGGAUAACUUCGGGAAACCGGAGCUAAUACCGGAUAAUAUAUUGAACCGCAUGGUUCAAUAGUGAAAGACGGUUUUGCUGUCACUUAUAGAUGGAUCCGCGCCGCAUUAGCUAGUUGGUAAGGUAACGGCUUACCAAGGCAACGAUGCGUAGCCGACCUGAGAGGGUGAUCGGCCACACUGGAACUGAGACACGGUCCAGACUCCUACGGGAGGCAGCAGUAGGGAAUCUUCCGCAAAGGGCGAAAGCUUGACGGAGCAACGCCGCGUGAGUGAUGAAGGUCUUCGGAUUGUAAAACUCUGUUAUUAGGAAAGAACAAAUGUGUAAGUAACUAUGCACGUCUUGACGGUACCUAAUCAGAAAGCCACGGCUAACUACGUG